CAGCAGCCGCGGUAAUACGGAGGGUGCAAGCGUUAAUCGGAAUUACUGGGCGUAAAGCGCACGCAGGCGGUUUGUUAAGUCAGAUGUGAAAUCCCCGAGCUUAACUUGGGAACUGUAUUUGAAACUGGCAAGCUAGAGUGUGUCAGAGGAUGGUGGAAUUCCCGGUGUAGCGGUGAAAUGCGUAGAGAUCGGGAGGAACAUCAGUGGCGAAGGCGGCCAUCUGGGACAACACUGACGCUGAGGCACGAAAGCGUGGGGAGCAAACAGGAUUAGAUACCCCGGUAGUCCCUGUCUCUUAUAC
rnacentral:rRNA from 1 species